rnacentral:sRNA from 1 species
AGAAGGGAGAAACCCUAAGUGGCAGACACAGUCGUUGGUGGUUUCUCCACCAACCACAGGUCCAGGACGCAGGGGUUGAGUGAAUGAGGACAUGGGGGUGGGGGCAUGGCAGCUGCCGGAGGGGCAGGUUUUCCCAGGAACCAACUGACAGCCUGUCUCGAACUCAGAAACAGUAGCACCAUGGCCUGAGAAACAAGAACCAUUUGAGAUUCCAGAUGCGCUUUGGUGAGACAGGACUCCUGGCAUACUUUAGGGGUUAGAAGUCCUGUGUUAUUUUGGAGGUCAGGCCUUCCCUAUACCUGCUGGGCCUGAGGAAAUCCAUAGCAACGCUGAGGGGUGGGCAGUGGGCCAAGGACAAGCAAGCAGGUGAAUGCUGGUGUCCAGCAUAGGCAGGGCAGAGGACAAACAUUCUUGGUCUAGGCAGCCACAUUCUUUCCUGCAAGGAGCUCCUCUCUGCCAGGCUGGUCUGUGGCCUGAUUGUGUUCCUGUUUUCUUUGACCAGUUCUCUUCCUCCCCUCUUGUUUUCUUGGCCCUGCACAGAAUGGUGUCCGGCAAGUUUGAAGAGCAAACUUAACAAGUGGAUGGGGGUGGGGUGGGAAAGGUAGGGGGAUGGGGAGCCAGCAAGGCCCAAGGCUUCUGAGCCCUGCCCAAGAGAGGGUCUUCUGUGAAACUCUCCUUACCCUGCCUCCUCCCUUGCAGGGCACAGUUGAACUGGGGAUAGUGGAGGCACUGUUGGGUCACACGCUAAGGCAAAGAUAUCCUAAAGAGGGGAGUCCAGUGUCUGUGUGCUGGGUGGCUAACUCAGUGCUUGGAAUUUUAUGCUGCUGCUGGUGGCAUACUGGCUUGGGGAGGUGUGAGUGGAGUUAACAUGGUAAGGGCACAUUACCCAGAGAACUGGACCCCCGUGGUGGCAGGAAUAAUUUCUGCAGAGGGUAAGACUGACAACCCAUGAUCCUUCAGGCUGAGAGGAUAGCUAGCAGGCUACAGGGAUGGGAGAGUGGCCCCUAGAUGACAGGGCUCUAGAUGUAGCCAGGGAGACUCUUGCAAAAGAUUGUUGCCCAGUCUUUCAUGAACAGAGAAAUGUGUGUGCAUCAGGAAAAGGCGUGUAUUUGGCAACAAUGAGGCCCAGGAGUAUGGUUGUAGAGUUCAAAGCACAGCACAUGGGAGGGAUGCAGUAACAACAGGUCCGCUCUGGUAAGUUUCUGGACCUGCGAACAGUUUUCUUAAGGAGAAAAGUCCGAAAGACAGAGUUGGAGUUCAAUCUUGGGGACUGAAUCUGUUUUAUAUGAAAAUCAGUCCUGGAGCCAGAGUCAGUUUAGUACCGAGAAUCAAAGUCGCUGCGCGCAGGCGCACACCGUGCUACGUUCUGCUUAUCUCCUCCUUUAUUCCAACCUGCACUCCACUCGCUCCCUUCUUUCUAGGGGGGUGGGAAUGGGGGGAAGCUUGUGAUGUGGCCUUAACAAGCUUCCCAUUCGGCAGUAGGGGAGAGCGAGGGUACGAUGGACAGGGCUCUGGAGCCCAGUAUCCUGAGCUGCGCCACCAGGGUAGACACAGAGGACCCAGGCAAAGAGCUUUGGGUCGAGACAGUCCCUAGACUCGGAGAGGCCAACUCUGAUGGUCCCUGAGUUGGCACCGGUGCCUCAGAACCCUCCCGGACACCAGGCCCAGCGCAACUCAGCAGGGAGAUGCCGGGUACUCCCCCGCCCGCUCUGGGAGGGAAUGUCGGCAAAGCCGGGAAGCUCAGCCCGGUUAUUAAUUCAUUGGGUCGUGUGCCGCUAAUCAAGCCCGACUCUGUGCAGCCACCGUGAAGCCCAGCAGGGUCACUGGGGCCCAGCUUUGUGUCUGCAAGAGGCCAAGUUGUUCCUGAAGCCUCCAGCUCGCCUCCCGGAUCUGCACACCAGCGCAGUCCAGGAGCUCAGAGCAGGGACUGUCACGUCCAAAGGUGGGCUUCCCACAUUGUGAGGGAGGUGGCGUCUCACUUCAAGAGAGACUCCACUCUCUAAACACACCUUACUUCACUCUUCUCCUAACUGGGGGGCGGGGACAGACCCUACUCUUCAAAGCAGAAAACUAUUCUUCAAACCCACACCUGGCCUCCUUUUCCUGGCUAACUCCUAAGCACGUAGGAAAUUAUUCAACCUGGCUCUUCAGGUGGUUCCCCCCACUUCAGCCGGCAGAUCCUGCAGAUCAGGCCCUUGCUGCCUCCCACCCCAGACCCCUGGCCGCGGGCACAACAGCCUGGCACUCUCUGGGGCUUGGACUGCUUUAGGAGAGUGUCUGUCUGCGCUUCCCUCUCCGGAGUUAAUAUUAACCAGGAGCUCCUGCGAUCCAGAACUGCUCAGAAAGUUCCACUGGGGACGGUCCUGCCAUGGUUGAGGGACUUGGGCUCAGUCACUUUAGAGAGACAGACUGGGAGGCAGGAGAGACUGAAGAGAGGGGACCUCGGCCCGAACCAAGUGGUUGUUAAAGGGGGGAUGGGUGGGUGGAAGGGGCGGAUGGCAGGUUCCCCGGAGAUUCCCUGGCUUCACCCCUUCACCUCUAGUCCUGCCUUCUCGCCACCUCCUUCCUUCCCAUUCCCUCUUAUCUCUGCCAACCCGGAAUAAGAACCAGCGAGGGUUGUACCAAGGGGAACUUCCUAGACUGCCACCUUUACAGCCACCCUCAUUUUGGGGGAUCUUUGCAGGGUGGGUGAGAAGAUCCUGGCCUGGCCUUCCCCACCCCCACUUUUGCUGUCUCUACCACCUCUUUUUGUGUUGGGAACCAGAAUGACCACUGCCCAAGGGAGAAAAGUAUUUGUUUUCGUUUCCUUCGUCUAAAGGAACUUGACAGAAGGUCAGAAGUUCAAAUACUGCUCGCGCGCGCACGAGGCGGCGGCGAGAGUGAUCCGUUGUAGGGAGGCUAAGCUCCGGGUCCCUGACUGGAAGGGUGGCGUGAGGGAAAGGACUUAAUUGGGGAUCUCCGUUUAGGGCGCUGAGGCCGAGGGGCCGCGAGGGUGGCGGGGUUGCAGUCCAGGUCAGACCCGCGGGGCUCCCUGCCUUGCGACUUCUCGCGGCUCAACCCCUGCCUGCGCGCCCUAGAGAGUGAGCGCGCUCGGAGCCCUGCGCUCGGGCCCGGCGCACUCCGCGCCUGCAGGGUCAGGGACAAGCCGCCGGAGCUCAACCCCCGCGCGCUGAAACCCUAGCCUCGGGAUCGAUAGCGCAGGAGUAAGCCGGGCUGAAAGGCGUCUACCAAGGCUCGGCGCUCUCCCAGCUCUGCGACACGCAGAGGCCCGGCGGGCCGGACUAGGGAGCGGGCCAGCCGAGGACCCCCUUGCAGACCCAUCCGAGAUGAGGACCCUGCGUGUCCACGACAGGCCUCUUUGCAUUGGUAAUCUUUUCUCUGAUCGCACCUUCCCAAGGACCUCCUUAUCCUGAGAUGCCCCCCCCCCCUCGGGAGGGGAGGCGAAUAGGGUAGCCAGGGGAUGGGUGCCCGGGGCCAGCGGGAGAACUCGCUCUUGCAAGCCGGACCAGUCGGGCGCCCCGCGGUCCGCGCAGAGUUAACUGGCUCGCGCAGCUCCCCGACUCCCGCGCGCGCGCGCGCCCCCACACUCGCGGUCCAGAUUUAAGGUGGUCGGGAGCAGAUGAGGGAGAUGGAGAGAGAAUGGCCCUGUACUCAGCCUCCACGACUUCCUUUUGCUCCAGCUCUGGCCUGCCACCCUAAGACUAGUCUCCUAGGCUUCCCACACAGCAGGUACCCGGUGGCGAGCUGCGCGUCGCGUCGCGUCGCGUCGCGCGGGCUGUUCCACUCUUGUUUUCUCCAGCCCCCGCCCCCUGCACUUGCGCCCCGCCAGCGCCGCCCCUCCAGCCGCUUGACGCACCUAGCCCUAAAGGUUGAAAAUUAAAGGGAUUGCAAAGCCAGCAAGUUCCAAGUCCCUCCCCUAAGGUACCGCGGGCUCUGGAGAACUGAGGAGCAUCCUUAAAGAAAUAUCAAUACAUUCUCGACCGGCACAAUUGAGGACGACGGGAUCGCAGUCAGGCUACGCGAGACAGUGGGGACAAGACGGGCGACUCUGGAGCUUCUGCCUUUUGUCACAAUUGCCCUCUCCUCAGCUUUCCCAGUUACAGUUCUUUGGUAGUGGUGGGGUAAAGGGUGGGGUGGUCUUGGGAGAAAAACACAGAGAAGGGAAAGGUGGGAGCUAGGGGCUGGAAAUGCUCCCGGCUAUGUUUGCAGUGACCUGGAGGCCCCUUGAAGUGUACAGGGCAUCCCCACUCCCUCCAUUUUCUGUCUCCACUUGAAAAGGGCAGACACCCACAGAGUGAAGGUCUUUCCAAGUUUCAGGGUAGAAUACAGGUAGUUAGAGGAGGUCGUCCCGCGAGACUAACUAAAUGAGACUAAUAAGAUAGAAAACCCCAUCUUCUGGUGCUCCAUUCCACCAAACCCUAAACUUCCUGCUGGACCCUUCACCUCCUUUCUCCUCCCGGAAGAGGAGUGCUAGGUGGGCAGGUGGGUGGGGAAGGAGAGAGCAAGCCGCCUUUCUACCUGCCCAAAGAGCAAACAGAGCAGGGCUGACUGCUUGGUCACACGCACCCCCCCUCCAGGGAAGGAACCCGUUUCCCACCCGCAAUGGGUCUCUACCUGAGUCAUCAGCCGGUCUGCUCCAGUGUUUUCCUCAUCCUUAAAUAUGAUGUCGGGGUUGUAAUUGGGGG